AUUAGGAAUACAUGUAUUGUCUUUUUUGUCAGAUUUAUGACAACUAAAUAAUUUAAUAACUUUGUUCGGUUUAGUACAUGACGAUUUAAGACAGAUCAUUCAUAAUAAAUACAUAAAAGGAAAGCUGUCAAGGGUUAUCAUUUUCCUACGACCGGUCAUAAAAUAUAACUGUAAUUAAUGGACCGUUCCCAUAUAAAGUAAAUUUGGGUCUACAAUAAUUGUACAUUUCGUCAUUGGACUGGGACUAAUCAUGAUUUCUAAAGUAUUGCUUUUGGCAGUUUUUGCCAUUGUUGCUACAGAAGCAAGAGGUCCAUGGUUUGGUCAUGGUGGUGGAUAUCAUGGCCCAAAGUUUGGACACACAACAUUUAUUAAGAAAGGU